rnacentral:rRNA from 1 species
GACGAACGCUGGCGGCGUGCCUAAUACAUGCAAGUCGAACGAGAGCGACCGGUGCUUGCACUGGUCAAUCUAGUGGCGCACGGGUGAGUAACACGUGGGUAACCUGCCCAUCAGAGGGGGAUAACAUCCGGAAACGGAUGCUAAAACCGCAUAGGUCUUCGAACCGCAUGGUUUGAAGAGGAAAAGAGGCGCAAGCUUCUGCUGAUGGAUGGACCCGCGGUGCAUUAGCUAGUUGGUGAGGUAACGGCUCACCAAGGCCGUGAUGCAUAGCCGACCUGAGAGGGUGAUCGGCCACAUUGGGACUGAGACACGGCCCAAACUCCUACGGGAGGCAGCGGUAGGGAAUCUUCCGCAAUGGACGCAAGUCUGACGGAGCAACGCCGCGUGAGUGAAGAAGGUUUUCGGAUCGUAAAACUCUGUUGUUAGAGAAGAACAAGUGCUAGAGUAACUGUUAGCGCCUUGACGGUAUCUAACCAGAAAGCCACGGCUAACUACGUG